UACGUAGGGUGCGAGCGUUAAUCGGAAUUACUGGGCGUAAAGUGUGCGCAGGCGGCCGCGCAAGUCGAGUGUGAAAGCCCCGAGCUUAACUUGGGAAUUGCGCUCGAAACUACGUGGCAGGAGUGUGGCAGAGGAAGGUGGAAUUCCAGGUGUAGCGGUGAAAUGCGUAGAGAUCUGGAGGAACACCGAUGGCGAAGGCAGCCUUCUGGGCCAACACUGACGCUCAUGCACGAAAGCGUGGGGAGCAAACAGG
rnacentral:rRNA from 1 species